CCUACGGGAGGCAGCAGUGGGGAAUAUUGGACAAUGGGGGCAACCCUGAUCCAGCCAUGCCGCGUGAGUGAUGACGGCCUUAGGGUUGUAAAGCUCUUUUCUCCGGGACGAUAAUGACGGUACCGGAGGAAUAAGCCCCGGCUAACUUCGUGCCAGCAGCCGCGGUAAUACGAAGGGGGCUAGCGUUGCUCGGAAUCACUGGGCGUAAAGGGCGCGUAGGCGGCUGACUUAGUCGAGGGUGAAAGCCCGUGGCUCAACCACGGAAUGGCCUUCGAUACUGGUUGGCUUGAGACCGGAAGAGGACAGCGGAACUGCGAGUGUAGAGGUGAAAUUCGUAGAUAUUCGCAAGAACACCAGUGGCGAAGGCGGCUGUCUGGUCCGGUUCUGACGCUGAGGCGCGAAAGCGUGGGGAGCAAACAGGAUUAGAUACCCUGGUAGUCCACGCUGUAAACGAUGAAUGCUAGCCGUUGGUCUGCAUGCAGGUCAGUGGCGCCGCUAACGCAUUAAGCAUUCCGCCUGGGGAGUACGGUCGCAAGAUUAAAACUCAAGGAAUUGACGG
rnacentral:rRNA from 1 species